AUGUAUUUGGUUGGUGCAAAAAUAAUUGCAGUUUUUGCCAUUACUUUAAUAGCAAAAACCACAAUUACUUUGUACCAACCUAAUAAUU
rnacentral:miRNA from 10 species